GGUGCGGUUGCCGAGGUCGGUGCGGUCGCCGCCGAGGCGGCGGCUCUCAUCGAUCGGCGGCAGUUCCGGCCCGACCCGCGCCA
rnacentral:tRNA from 1 species